rnacentral:tRNA from 1 species
AAAGCCUGUUGAACUACCAACAUCUCCUGAAUGCAACUCAGAUACUUUAAUUAAGCUAAAGCUUC